UCAAAGUUCAGAAAUCCCUGUUGGACGACCCAUUGCAAGUCGGAUCUACGUAUAUUUGGCUAUUCAGUCAAAUCAAACUUCAGUUCAGGUAUUCAUGUGAUCUAUUUGGGGAAACAAAUCUCCAAAUUGGAUAUUCACCAGUAUUAUCCUUUGGAUUCAUCAAGCGCAUUUUGAAAUUUCGCUCAUAAAUUCAACGAACUCUGGAGCAGGCAACGGCAAUACGUUUUUGAUAUUGUACAUAUCAGCUUACAAGAGAGUUGAUAAUUUAAUUUAAGAUAGUCCAGAUAAUAAAUUAGGAUUGUCUGAUAGUUUCUGAAGUGAAAAAUACAUUGAAGAAAUGUUAAAAUCUGAUCACAGCGAUCAGGAGUCUGCCAAGCUUGGUGAAUCUAGCUGUGCCUCUAAGAUGCACGAAUGAUUAAGAUAUAGUAUUUUAUAAGAAAGUACUAACGAGAAGAGAAUUUUGGCUUGAAUAAAUUUGGUGGAGAAUAAUUGAAGAUAAUGUGAUAUUUCGAAACCGUUAAAAACAUGAAUAUCGCCGAUCACUUUGGUACUAUUUUCGAAAUGAUUUCGAACGAACAAUCAAAUGAGUCUAAAUCAGUAAAAGAAUCGAUGACAUACAGGAAUACCA